UAAAAAUGUAACAGUCCGUAAAACGUUUUCGAAAGGAUCGUUUUAUGAAUGUAGUUUAUUUUUAUGGAAUGCACUUGUUGCCAUUGUGCUGAUACAAUUGAUUGAGAUUUUUGAAAUUAUAUUAGAGGGCAUUCUUCGGAAUGUAUCCUGGUAUAAUGAAUAAAAUUUUUGGUUAAUUGUCCUUGUAAUGAUUAAAGGAAAGAAUAAAUUUUGCGGCAUUUAAGAGUUAACGUUUACGUUGGCUUUUUUAAUCUGUAAAAUUUUAUUUUGUACGAUAGUCAUUAUAUAUCAGUAUAAAAGACAAUCACCUAUAUGUCCCGUCUUGAAACACGGACCAAGGAGUUUAUUGUAUGUGCGAGUCAUUAAGUGAUCAAAACUUAUUGGCGUAAUGAAAGUAAAGUAUUCUUUUUGAAUAUGAUAUAUGAUUGUUUUUCGUUUACGGAAAACAAGUAGUAUAGUCCCAUCUAAUUUGCUUGCAAAUGGGUGGAGAUAGAGCAUAUGCAAUGAGACCCGAAAGAUGGUGAACUAUGCCUGAGCAGGAUGAAGUCAGAGGAAACUCUG
rnacentral:rRNA from 1 species